UUACAGGAGUGAGCCACUGUGUCUGGCCGAACUUUCUGAUGACAAUUCUAAGUCCACCUAAGCUAAGGACAAGAGUUAUAGCUUACAUGAAUUUUAAAACCAGACCCACCGAUUUGAGAAAGCAAUUACUCUCUUGAAGGAGAAAAGUCAGAAAACGUAAUGAUGAAAUCACUAGGACCUAACCGGCAUGUGGAACCAUUUUCUGCUUAUGAACUAUCAACUUUCAUUUCAUUUCCAGAUGACAUGGUCUCAGCUGUUACACAGUGUUUACGAAUGUUCUAAAUCAAGGGAAUUUGUAUCUAUCUAGUAGAAUAUAAUGAAAUAUUUGAGUUCUUAAUUUCCUUUAAUUAGGAUAACCUUUUUCUUAAAGUGAAGAGAAUGGUUUUAUUACCUAUUUUUCUUCGGAGAAGAUAGGCUGUAUUUUCUAGCAGUUACGCAUUUGUUAUAUAUGAUGAUCUGGUUCUUGGAACAUUCUUGAAUCUAGUGUCUCUAAGGCAGGUGUGUACAGCAAGAAGUGAAUAACACAGAAAUCAAUGAUGAAAGCAUUAGAAAACAACUGAGUUUGUCAGAACUGCAAAAUAUUGCUGAGUGUGGAUUGCUCUGAAAUCUGAAAACAUUACUUGUGAAUUGCUUCUAUCCAAAAUGCAGACACAAUGCUGGGUGUUGGUUUACUUGUUUCCCAUUUUUCAACCCCCUUUUCUAGGCAAAAGGUGUCCAAACUAUGCAGACCCACAGAAUCUAACAGAUGUCUCUAUAUUCCUCCUCCUAGAACUCUCAGGGGAUCCAGAACUGCAGCCGGUCCUCGCUGGGCUGUUCCUGUCCAUGUGCCUGGUCGCUGUCCUGGGGAACCUGCUCCUCAUCCUGGCCGUCAGCCCUGACUCCCACCUCCACACCCCCAUGUACUUCUUCCUCUCCAACCUGUCCUUGCCUGACAUCGGUUUCACCUCCACCAUGGUCCCCAAGAUGAUCGUGGACAUCCAAUCUCAUGGCAGAGUCAUCUCCUAUGCAGGCUGCCUGACUCAGAUGUCUCUCUUUGCCAUUUUUGGAGGCACGGAAGAGAGACACGCUCCUGAGUGUGAUGGCCUAUGACCGGUUUGUAGCCAUCUGUCACCCUCUAUACCAUUCAGCCAUCAUGAACCCGUGUUUCUGUGGCUUCCUAGUUUUGUUGUCUUUCUUUUUUCUUAGUCUUUUAGACUCCCAGCUGCACAACCUGAUUGCCUUGCUAAUGACCUGCUUCAAGGAUGUGGAAAUUCCUAAUUUCUUCUGUGACCCUUCUCAACUCCCCCAUCUUGCAUGUUGUGACACCUUCACCAAUAACAUAAUCAUGUAUUUCCCUGCCACCACAUUUGGUUUCCUUCCCAUCUCAGAGACCCUUUUCUCUUACUGUAAAAUUGUUUCCUCCAUUCUGAGGGUUUCAUCGUCAGGUGGGAAGUAUAAAGCCUUCUCCACCUAUGGGUCUCACCUGUCAGUUGUUUGCUGAGUUUAUGGAAGAGGCGUUGGAGGGUACCUCAGUUCAGAUGUGUCAUCUUCCCCCAGAAAGGGUGCAGUGGCCUCAGUGAUGUACACGGUGGUCACCCCCAUGCUGAACCCCUUCAUCUACAGCCUGAGAAACAGGGAUAUUAAAGGUGUCCUGCGGCCGCCACAUGGCAGCACAGUCUAAUCUCAAUAUCUUCUUAUCUGUUCCAUUCCUUUUGUAGUGUGGGUUAAAAAAGGCAGCAAGGUCAAAUAAGAAUGAUAACACAGGGUGAACACCCAGUGUGACAUUAGGAGUAAUACCCCCCAGGAUAUAAAAAAUACUGUCACAGAGUAUACACACAAGGGGUACACCCACUGUGAUAUGAGAAGCAAUAUCUCCCUAUAAUAUGAUGAAAAAUAUCACAGUGUCACAGGGUGUGCACACUGUGUGAUCUUAGCAGUAAUAUUUACCCUGGAUAUUCCCACUAAUAUCAAGGGUGUACAUGGUGUACACUGCCUGUGCCAUCAGGAGUAACAUUCUCCUAGGAUAUCACGAAUAAUAUCACAGCAGGUGUACACACAUGGUGCACACCCCAUGUGACAUUAGGAGGAACGUGCCCCUAGGAUAUUAGGAAUAGUAUCACAGGCAUUGAAUACGCAUGAUACACAACCCCUGUGACAUUAAAAGUAACAUCCCCCUAGGAUGCGACGAAUAAUAUCACAGGGAGUACACCCCAUGUGACAUUAGGAGUGACAUCCCCCGAGGAUAUAGCGAAUAAUAUCAGAGGGUGUACAUGCAUUGUGACCUUAAUAGUAACAUCUCUUUAGGAUAUUACAAAUCAUAUCAAAGGGGUACACAGAUUGUGACACUGGUAGUAAUAUCCCACUGGGAUAUGACGAGUAAUAUCACAGGCUGUACACCCCCUGUGACAAUAGUAGUAACAUUCCCCUAGAAUAUGACCAAUAAUAUCACAGGAGGUACAGCCCCUGUGAUUUACGAGUAACAUUUCUAUAGAAUAUUACAGGUGGUAUCACUGUGUGACUCUGUGUACACCCCUUGUGACAUUAGGAGUAACAUCCCACAAAACUAUUAUGAGUAAUAUCACAGGGUGAACACCCCCUGUGACAUGAGGAAUAACGUAGUUUUAGGAUAUUAUGAAUGAUAUGACAAGGUGUACACAUCCUGUGAUGUUAAGAGCAAUAUCCAUCUAGGAUAUUAGGAAUAAUAUCACAGGGAACACACCCCCUGUGACAUUAGGAUAUUACGAAUAAUAUCACAAGGUGUACACGCAUUGUGACAUUAGUACUAAUAUCCCUCUGGUAUACUAUGAAUAAUGUCACAGGGUGUACAUCCCUGUGACUUUAGGAGUAACGUCCCCCUAGAAUAGGACGAACAAUAUCACACAGGGUACACACCCUGUGACUUUAGGAGUAUCACCGCCCUGGAAUAUGAGGAAUACUGUCCCAGGGUAUUAACCCCCUGUGACCUGAGGAGUAACAUCCCACUGGAAUAUUAGGAAUAAUAUCACAGUGUGUACACCAACUAUGAUAAAAAAAUAAAAU